AAGACUAUAGACCUGCGGAGUACCUGCGGAAGGAUCAUUAAAGAGUUGCAAGACUCCCAAACCAUUGUGAACGUUACCCACACCGUUGCUUCGGCGGGCGGCCCGGGCCCUGCCCGGCGCCCCCCGGCCCCUCGCGGGCGCCCGCCGGAGGUAAACCAAACUCUUGAAUUGUAUGGCCUCUCUGAGUCUUCUGUACUGAAUAAGUCAAAACUUUUAACAACGGAUCUCUAGAUCGGAAGA
rnacentral:misc_RNA from 1 species